rnacentral:rRNA from 1 species
AACGAACGCUGGCGGCAGGCUUAACACAUGCAAGUCGAACGGAUCCUUCGGGAUUAGUGGCAGACGGGUGAGUAACGCGUGGGAACGUACCCUUUGCUACGGAAUAACUCAGGGAAACUUGAGCUAAUACCGUAUGUGCCCUACGGGGGAAAGAUUUAUCGGCAAAGGAUCGGCCCGCGUUGGAUUAGCUAGUUGGUGGGGUAAUGGCCUACCAAGGCGACGAUCCAUAGCUGGUCUGAGAGGAUGAUCAGCCACACUGGGACUGAGACACGGCCCAGACUCCUACGGGAGGCAGCAGUGGGGAAUAUUGGACAAUGGGCGCAAGCCUGAUCCAGCCAUGCCGCGUGAGUGAUGAAGGUCUUAGGACUGUAAAGCUCUUUCACCGGUGAAGAUAAUGACGGUAGCCGGAGAAGAAGCCCCGGCUAACUUCGU